CAAACUAAACUUCCUUCCAAACACUGAACUGAGUGGUUACAAUUAACCUGUCAGGUUGGCAACCGCUAUCAGUUUUGAAGCUGACCCAAACGAACGACAACUCCGUUAUGAGAGGAAUUUGAAAUGAAAAUAAGGAAAAACCGUCUUUCUUUCGUUUUGUCGUUCGUUCGUGUUCUAACAUUAACCUGCGGUGUUCAGACAUAUAGUCGGAUUAAAAGAAAUAUACCUCGAAUCCAAGUCGGCCAUAAUAACCACUGGGGGCUGACGAGGUAUAAGCGUACUUCGUUUCGCUACGACGUCGGGUACCCGGUAUAUGUUUUACUACGAAAACAUUGUGUGAAUACACAUGACAUCGAAGAACGGAUUAGUGGAAAUUUGUGUUUAAAACAGCAAUGUCUUAUUCUAAGGAAAGGAAAACGCUCGUGUGCCUGUUUGUUAAAGAUCGAACAGUUGAAAUGAAUAGAGAACCACAUGUUUUCACGAAGAAACACCAGGGCCACGAUGUGGAUGUUGAUCUAAUUGCCAUAUCGGAUUGUUUUAAUAACGAAACCGCAUACAAUGUAAGAAUCAUCAAAAUGGAUAAAAAUGAGCGCUGUUGAUAUCGUGCUGUUCUUUUCUAAAUUUGCUAAAGACAACGAAGAAGGCUUAAAGGCUUCGGAGUAUGAUAAAUAUGUUUUUGUGUUUCUAUCGACACUGAAGUCAGCAGAUUGCAUUUUUGUUGGCAAUAAAGACAAUAAAGAGUGUCUUCAUAUGGCGAAAGUUUAUGACGAAAUCAAAACUAGCACAUUUAUGGCGGGGAAGCCAAAGGUAUUCAUUAUACAGGCGGACGACGAAGGGAUGGUUAAAGAUAUAGAAGUACCACAAGUACCACAAGCUGAUAGGAAACUCCCACAGGAUGCAGACAGAUUAAUAAUCAUGUCAACGCUUCCACAAAUUCUUGCCAAUAUUGUCGACAAAGAUCUAGGCCCGCUCGAUUUGCCAACGCCAAAUCUAGAAAGUUUAAUCCGUGCAGUUCAGGAAAAGGAGCAAAGUUUACCUAUUUCCAAACAAAGUCAAGCAUCGUUUCUUAUACAAGCGUUUGUAGCAGUGGUCAAGCAGUGCAGAGAAGACGACAAAGAAGUCUUCACCAACACGCCUUACAUUCUUAAGAUGGUAGAUGAGCGGUUGGAUCCAUUUAGAGCUCGAUUCCCCCAUAUAGUGUUCCCACUGCCGUUGGUGACCUCGACUUUGACAAAGCCAUUGAAGUUUUAAUGAAUAUUAAUGUAUGAAACCACCCCCUUCUAAAGAGGAUGGGACAGUGGAUUAGACGUUAUCAAUAGGUUUCGUUUUGAUUUAGUUCCCCACAAUGAUAUUGGUUUAUAGUUUACCUAAAUACAGUGCGCGUAUGGUCAGUAACAAAAUGUUAUAUCAGUCAUUUACAACCCAUUUAAAUGGUGAACAUAAAAGUUGAUAAGUAAAUUAUUUAAUGAGAUUCAACUUAGAUUAGUUUGAACUUUCCGGCAUUGUACAUACUAGUUGUUGGUGUAGAAAUCGGUAUCAAACGACAGACAGAGAUAACAGAAACUAUAUUUUAAAUAAUUGUUAGGGCAAUAUCCUGCUUUUUCUUAUUAUGCAGCAAUAGAUUGACUACGCUUACUGUUUAAUUAGAGAAAUGAGGCAUUAUCAAUGUAACAUAAAAUUAUGCUUUAUGCAACUAUAUAUUGAAAUUUAUCAGAACCUUUCUGAAAACCAAUUACUUUUGGUUUUGUAGUUACUAUACACAUAUGUAUGAUCGAUAGCAUUAUAUAUAUAUGCUUUAAGAUAUUUUAAAUGUAUAUUGCCACUAUUGUGCACCAACACGUGGAUACCAAUAACAGUUUAUUUUCGGCAUAGGAUUGAUACAUAUAUUCAAUGGGAAAAGAAUGUUUUCUUACAAAUAAUCGUUUAUCUUAUGAAAGAUAUACGACAUAACAAAGUUAAUAUAUGGACACUUAUGCACUAUUUACCUUUUGUUCAAAAUAUUAAUGCCCCGUAUGUCAAAUUAGGUCAUUUAAAUAUAUAUAUCCUUUUCGUAAAUAAGAAUAAGUUGUCUUUGAAUAAAAUACAUUCCAACUUAUUAAAGGUUCUACCACUCAUCAUAAAUAAACAUGAUGCAUUCUAAGAUAUGACCAGUUAAAACGAAAAACUCUUAUUUGCAAAUGUUAAACUAACAAAUUCUUGUCGAUCAACGUACACAAUAUUCAAAUGGUUAAUGUCUCACUAUACAAAUACAUAUUUUUUUUUGGUAUUGUAUUCUUUUUAUAAAAUGUUUUUGAGUUGAA